GAGUUUGAUCUUGGCUCAGAACGAACGUUAGCGGCGCGCCUAACACAUGCAAGUCGAGCGAGAAAGGGCUUCGGCCCCGGUAAAGCGGCGCACGGGUGAGUAACACGUAGGCAAUCUGCCUCUGAGUGGUGGAUAACCUUCCGAAAGGAGGGCUAAUACAGCAUAAGACCACGGGUUCGCAGAACCUGAGGUCAAAGCGGACCUCUUCUUGAAAGUUCGCGCUUGGAGAUGAGCCUGCGGCCCAUCAGCUAGUUGGUAAGGUAAUGGCUUACCAAGGCUAAGACGGGUAGCUGGUCUGAGAGGACGAACAGCCACACUGGAACUGAGACACGGUCCAGACUCCUACGGGAGGCAGCAGUGGGGAAUCUUGCGCAAUGGGCGAAAGCCUGACGCAGCGACGCCGCGUGAGCGAUGAAGGCC
rnacentral:rRNA from 1 species